CGCAACAGCUGCAGUCCUGCUGAGGCCAUGGUUACCCUAGGGAGAAGAGGGAUGAGCAGAGGACAGAUUGCCAGCAUCUGCUCGAUCUUGAGUGACAGAAAAUUAGUUUAAAAAACAGCUUUAUAUGAAAAAAGUUACUAAGAGGGUGUGGCACAGGGAAGAAAAUUAAAACAUUUACUUUUUGCACCUUUUAAUUCUGAAGUUGCUGAGUCAUUUUAACAGUGAAUAUUCCUGAACUAAGUUCAGGUUUAUUGUUUGAUGAAAAAUGUCAUUAACCCCUCUUUUGUUAGAUAGUUCUACAACCCUACUUCAGUUGCAAUCAAUGUUAUCAACAUUAUAGUGGGAAUUAUUUUUGAAAAAAACUUAAAGCUUUAUUUGUAAUGAGGUUGCAAGUUAAAGUAAUUUUUUUUGCAAACUUUAGAUGCUCUAAAUAUAUUGGACUUGGAAAACAUCAAAGCCCAGAAAUACCUUAUUACUGAGUUUAUUGUUGUGAAGUCAUGCUAAGUUCAUCACAGGUAAUACUGCCAUAAUGUUCCAUAAUUCCCACAGCCUGUUCUAUGCUCUAAGUUAGAUGAAUGCUUUGAAAAUCGCUUACUAUUGUUAAAUUCAUGCCUGUCUCCUUUCUUUUUAAAGAGUUUCAUAGAGUUGUAUGUCUUUGUUUUGUGCCUGCCACCAUUGUGCAUUUCCGCCAUGUUCAGUUGUAAAACUCACUCGAGCAGCUGAUGCAUAUGUACAUAGCUGUAUGUAUGUGUGUAUGAAUGUAUAUGUUUAUACCUCUGCCUGAAUAUAUUCUGUACAGUGUAUAGAACCCCCCUAGUUUGUGUAUAUAUGUACAGAUGUGGAGCCUCUAUUCAUGCAUUCUAUGUGCUAAAGCUUUUCAUUCACUUGCUAAUCCAGAGCUUCCUUGCUUGCUUGCUUGCAUUUCUUAACCCAAAAUAAACUUAUCAUCAAAGCAGAUGAACCCUCCUGAAUUUCAGAGCUUUACAGAUUUUUUCUAAGCCAAUCUGAAUUCAGUAUUUUCUGCUCAGAACUGACAAAGGUAUUUCAUGAAUUUUCUGGCUUUUACCUUUUCUCAUUUGACCUGUAGAAGCCUCCGAGUGAAUAGUUAAUUGAGCAUAUAAUGGCUGUUAAAAAUAAUUAAUAAAUAACUACAGUCAUAGAAAAUACUUCUCUGCUUUCCAUCCGCACUCCUUCUCUUUCAGCCUCCUGAGACACUCUCUUGUAAAGCUGCAUUUUGCAGUGAAGCUUGGUAAGAGAUUGAUACUUUUUUAAGCCUUUAGCAGUGGCAAAUUGAAACCAAACCAACUUUCCCUUUAUCGCUGAAGUGUAGCACACAGAACAGGAGACAAUGAAUGCUGUUUAACAAAUCAAUAUUCAUAUUGCCAUAGUGAUCACAUGAAACCAGCCUGUGAGUUAAAUACAGACUCAGUGCUCUGUUCAGUGAAACAGCAGCUCUGGGACAGUGGUAAUUAAAUAGGAGAGACAUUGCAGGUAGUUUAUUGCUUAGCAAGCACUAAAACUUAUUCAGGAUUUUGACAGUGAAUUUCAAUUCUUACACUAAACAAAACUUGAUUUAAUUGUCCGAGUAAUGUCCACGGCCUUGUUCUGUCCUUUGAUCGGCCUGGAAUCUGCUCAGCUCCUGCACUGCAUGUGACAUUCCCACUGUCCAUGUGGGGCCUGAGCACACAGUUGUGAAAUGAGUUGUGCAGUAAGACAGUUUAUUAUUCAUAAGGAGGACUCAAACAUUUACAUUAUCAAAAUAUAGAUACUUCUUGUUUUUCCCUUCUGAUAAAGUUACAAAGGGAGCCUUCUGUAAAGUAAAUGUAUUAACUGUGGGGUUUUAAAAAAGCAUUUCACAGACCAUGUACAGAGUUCAGCAAGUCUUGUUUUUGUCAUAUUAAAAAGGUGAAGCAGACUUUUCUGGGCAUUUCUUUCCACUUUCUGUACUCCAUGUGGCAAAGACUUGUGUAUGUUUAGGCAGAUAAGCAGACACCAGUCAAAAUAAUGUGAGCUUCUUGCAUGCUCACAUUAUUUUAUAAAGUGAAUCACAAGUCUGAGUCAGGCUUUGUGCUUGAAAGGUCUUUGCUGUGGAAAAUGUUACGAACGUUCUUUUCUGUACUGGCAAUAAAUGUUUGUAAGCUUUUGUUUCAAAUUUAGAAAAAAAGGGUAAGGUUUCAAAACCUAAUUUUUGCGAUUUUCAUCAGGAAAAAUAUUUAAAUUAAUGGCAGGAAUUCCUGUGACAGGUGAUCCUUCAUUGGUCUGGACAAUUGGUGCUGUUUGAACUCUUGCUUUCCUCUUUAAAGGUGAAUGGAAACCUGAAUGUCUGUUAAUCUUGUACUGCAGGAACAGUUUUAAAGAUUAGGAAGCUAAUUGGGGUAUUAACUAAGAUUGUUAAAAAACCAAAUUUUGAAUUCAGAAAAAGGUGCAUAUUUUAAAAUUGUCAAGUUGUUUUAUAUCCACAUUUGAAUUGUUUGGAUUCUGAAAGAUGAAAUGUUCUCAAAAGUAGUGGCAAUAAAGGCUCUGUAAUAAUAAAGCACAGGUCCAUUUAAAGAUAUUUUUGAUGAUCAUAGGUUAAAAGUAGGACUGAGUAAAUUUCAAACGAACAGCCUUUAAGAAGACAACAUUUUACCUACAGACUGGAUGUGUUAAAUUUUUCAUAUAUGGAAUCAAUGUUAAAUGUUGGAAUAUUUUUAAUAAUUAUUCUGUGCUCUGAAGUACAUUACAAGCCAGUGUUCAGUUUCCUGACUGAAAACGGCACAUUGUUUGGCAUACCAGGGAGUGCUGAGCUCCUACAAAAAGCAAAUUUUUAUAAAAGGAAGCAUCUACUUUUAAUUCCUUGGAAUAUUUUCUGGAUACCUUGGCUCAUUACAAUUUAGAUAACUAAUGUUUAUGUUAUUUUAUUUUUAUUUCAAGGUAAAAACUUUGUAAAAGUUGUUAAUUUCUCACAGCUUCUGUGAAAUCAGCAUUGUUGUGUGUGAUAGCAUUUUAAAAUAAUGGCAUGUUCUUUUUUUAAUCUGAAUUUUAUAUUUAAUCAAUGUAUUCAGUCACAAAGAGGAAUUUGCAUUGUUGUGUUUGUAUAUAGAGUAUUGCAGUGCAUGAUAUAGCUUAUGCAUUUUAUUAAAUGCUGUUUAAAUGUGGCAUUAUAUUAUUGUGGUUAAUACUAGCUAAAUGAGGUUUAUACCAUUAAAGUGAAUUACACAU